UACAGAGGUCUCAAGCGUUGUUCGGAUUCAUUGGGCGUAAAGGGUGCGUAGGCGGCGCGGUAAGUCGGGUGUGAAAUCUCGGAGCUUAACUCCGAAACUGCAUUCGAUACUGCCGUGCUCGAGGACUGGAGAGGAGACUGGAAUUCAUGGUGUAGCAGUGAAAUGCGUAGAGAUCAUGAGGAAGACCAGUGGCGAAGGCGGGUCUCUGGACAGUUCCUGACACUGAGGCACGAAGGCCAGGGGAGCAAACGGG
rnacentral:rRNA from 1 species